rnacentral:rRNA from 1 species
GUGAACGCUGGCGGUAGGCCUAACACAUGCAAGUCGAACGGCAGCACCGUAAGAGCUUGCUCUUACGGGUGGCGAGUGGCGGACGGGUGAGGAAUACAUCGGAAUCUACUUUUUCGUGGGGGAUAACGUAGGGAAACUUACGCUAAUACCGCAUACGACCUACGGUUGAAAGCAGGGGAUCUUCGGACCUUGCGCGAUUGAAUGAGCCGAUGUCGGAUUAGCUAGUUGGCGGGGUAAAGGCCCACCAAGGCGACGAUCCGUAGCUGGUCUGAGAGGAUGAUCAGCCACACUGGAACUGAGACACGGUCCAGACUCCUACGGGAGGCAGCAGUGGGGAAUAUUGGACAAUGGGCGCAAGCCUGAUCCAGCCAUACCGCGUGGGUGAAGAAGGCCUUCGGGUUGUAAAGCCCUUUUGUUGGGAAAGAAAAGCAGCAGGUUAAUACCCCGCUGUUCUGACGGUACCCAAAGAAUAAGCACCGGCUAACUUCGUG